CUUCAGUUGUUUUCCCAAAGCCCCUCUGUUUUUGAGACACCACUCAGACACUCUUCUUCGCCCUCGAAGACCAUCCCUGCGAACACGACCUACCCUCGACUUCGCCUGAAGGUAUUCAUGAAGUAAGUGUGCUGCAUUUGGAUUGGAUGUAAAGCCAUUUAUUGUUUGGUUGUUGUAACAACUCAUGAAUAUUGGUACCGAAAGUGAAGAUGAAUAUGACUAAUGUCAUGUGAGAAUUGCUCACGGGAGACGAAUCUUAUACGAAUAUGCAUUGUGCUUCUAUAAUAGCUUAUUAGAAGCCAUUGAUCUCGUCCUCUAAGGUGCUCAGAGUCUUGUGGUACCAAUAAAGUCCAAUUCAAGAAGAAAACUACAAAAAUCUAGUGGAAUUGAUGUAUCUAUUGGAUCUGUUGGAGUACUCCUCUUGAAAAUGACUGGAAACAGUACUGUUAUGAGGAUCUGUCAUUUUCCAUAUUGAUGGAUCUGUUGGAUCUUGUGGAAUUGAUGUAUCUUAUGGUAUCUGCUGAAAGCCAUUGAUUUCAUGUGUUA